rnacentral:rRNA from 1 species
UCCUACGGGAGGCAGCAGUGGGGAAUCUUAGACAAUGGGCGCAAGCCUGAUCUAGCCAUGCCGCGUGAGUGAUGAAGGUCUUAGGAUCGUAAAGCUCUUUCGCUGGGGAAGAUAAUGACUGUACCCAGUAAAGAAGUCCCGGCUAACUCCGUGCCAGCAGCCGCGGUAAUACGGAGGGGACUAGCGUUGUUCGGAAUUACUGGGCGUAAAGCGUGCGUAGGCGGAUCAGCAAGUUGGGGGUGAAAUCCCGGGGCUCAACCCCGGAACUGCCUCCAAAACUGUUGGUCUAGAGUUCGAGAGAGGUGAGUGGAAUUCCGAGUGUAGAGGUGAAAUUCGUAGAUAUUCGGAGGAACAUCAGUGGCGAAGGCGGCUCACUGGCUCGAUACUGACGCUGAGGUACGAAAGUGUGGGGAGCAAACAGGAUUAGAUACCCUGGUAGUCCACACCGUAAACGAUGAAUGCCAGUCGUCGGGCAGUAUACUGUUCGGUGACACACCUAACGGAUUAAGCAUUCCGCCUGGGGAGUACGG